GCAUCAAUUAUGAGACCUCAUAUUUUAAUGAAGAGCUCUGAAUAACUAAAUAUCAUGCUCAAUGGGAUUACAUUGAGACCC
ensembl:snoRNA SNORD115 Small nucleolar RNA SNORD115